rnacentral:tRNA from 1 species
GGUGGCUCAGUGGCAGAGUGUUUGCCUAGCAUGCAUGAAGCCCUGGGUUCGAUUCCUAGUACCA